rnacentral:rRNA from 1 species
GGGUUGUGAGGUUAAGCGACUAAGCGUACACGGUGGAUGCCCUGGCAGUCAGAGGCGAUGAAGGACGUGCUAAUCUGCGAUAAGCGCCGGUAAGGUGAUAUGAACCGUUAUAACCGGCGAUUUCCGAAUGGGGAAACCCAGUGUGACUCGUCACACUAUCAUUAACUGAAUCCAUAGGUUAAUGAGGCGAACCGGGGGAACUGAAACAUCUAAGUACCCCGAGGAAAAGAAAUCAACCGAGAUUCCCCCAGUAGCGGCGAGCGAACGGGGAGGAGCCCAGAGCCUGAAUCAGCAUGUGUGUUAGUGGAAGCGUCUGGAAAGGCGCGCGAUACAGGG